AGAGGAUUUACCCUGGUAGUCCAUGCCGUAAACGAUGUGUGUUAGACGUUGGAAAUUUAUUUUCAGUGUCGCAGCGAAAGCGAUAAACACACCGCCUGGGGAGUACGACCGCAAGGUUAAAACUCAAAUGAAUUGACGGGGACCCGCACAAGUAGUGGAGCAUGUGGUUUAAUUCGAAGAUACGCGCAGAACCUUACCAACACUUGACAUGUUCGUCGCGACUUUAAGAGAUUAAAGUUUUCGGUUCGGCCGGACGAAACACAGGUGCUGCAUGGCUGUCGUCAGCUCGUGCCG
rnacentral:rRNA from 1 species